AACGACCGGCUGGACAGCCAUGCCCAGCCCGCAAGUGGAGGCUCCGCUCUCCCACCCGACCGACCUCAGGGACGGCGGGUCACAGGUCAGGCUGCGCCCCGCGGUGUUUCGCGGCGGUGCUCCCGGUCCAUUGGAGCCCCGCCUGCGUCUCGUCCGGGGCGUUUUGU
rnacentral:ncRNA from 1 species